UACGUAGGGCGCAAGCGUUGUCCGGAAUUAUUGGGCGUAAAGAGCUCGUAGGCGGUCUGUUACGUCCGCUGUGAAAACCCAGGGCUUAACCCUGGGCUUGCAGUGGAUACGGGUAGACUAGAGGCAGGUAGGGAGAAUGGAAUUCCCGGUGUAGCGGUGAAAUGCGCAGAUAUCGGGAGGAACACCGGUGGCGAAGGCGGUUCUCUGGGCCUG
rnacentral:rRNA from 1 species